UUCGUAGGCGGCGCGUUAAGUCGGGUGUGAAAUCCCUCGGCUCAACCGAGGAAUUGCGCCCGAAACUGGCGUGCUUGAGUAAGAUAGAGGUGAGCGGAACUGAUGGUGGAGCGGUGAAAUGCGUUGAUAUCAUCAGGAACACCGGUGGCGAAAGCGGCUCACUGGGUCUUAACUGACGCUGAGGAACGAAAGCUAGGGUAGCGAACG
rnacentral:rRNA from 1 species